UACAGAGGUCCCAAGCGUUGUCCGGAUUCAUUGGGCGUAAAGGGUGCGUAGGUGGCGUCGUAAGUCGGGUGUGAAAUCUCGGGGCUUAACUCCGAAACUGCAUUCGAUACUGCGGUGCUUGAGGACUGGAGAGGAGACUGGAAUUUACGGUGUAGCAGUGAAAUGCGUAGAGAUCGUAAGGAAGACCAGUGGCGAAGGCGGGUCUCUGGACAGUUCCUGACGCUGAGGCACGAAGGCCAGGGGAGCAAACGGG
rnacentral:rRNA from 1 species